rnacentral:rRNA from 1 species
CGGGUGAGUAACACGUAUGCAAUCCACCUGUAACAGGGGGAUAACCCGGAGAAAUCCGGACUAAUACCCCAUAAUAUGGGCGCUCCGCAUGGAGAGCCCAUUAAAGAGAGCAAUUUUGGUUACAGACGAGCAUGCGCUCCAUUAGCCAGUUGGCGGGGUAACGGCCCACCAAAGCGACGAUCGGUAGCCGGACUGAGAGGUUGAACGGCCACAUUGGGACUGAGACACGGCCCAG